UACGUAGGAGGCAAGCGUUAUCCGGAAUGACUGGGCGUAAGGGGUGCGUAGGUGGUUCAGCAAGUUAGUAGCGUAACUCCGGGGCUCAACCUCGGCACUACUACUAAAACUGUUGGACUUGAGUGCAGGAGGGGCAACUGGAAUUCCUAGUGUAGCGGUGGAAUGCGUAGAUAUUAGGAGGAACACCAGUGGCGAAGGCGGCCGCCUGGCCUGUUAACUGACGCUGAGGCACGAAAGCGUGGGGAGCAAAUAGG
rnacentral:rRNA from 1 species